ACAGCUUUGGUUUAGUUUAGAGAUAGCGUGGACAUAAGCCCUUCGGCUCACCAAAUCCACGCCGACCAUC